rnacentral:rRNA from 1 species
UAGGGAAUCUUCCGCAAUGGACGAAAGUCUGACGGAGCAACGCCGCGUGAGUGAUGAAGGCUUUCGGGUCGUAAAACUCUGUUGUUAGGGAAGAACAAGUACAAGAGUAACUGCUUGUACCUUGACGGUACCUAACCAGAAAGCCACGGCUAACUACGUGCCAGCAGCCGCGGUAAUACGUAGGUGGCAAGCGUUAUCCGGAAUUAUUGGGCGUAAAGCGCGCGCAGGCGGUUUCUUAAGUCUGAUGUGAAAGCCCACGGCUCAACCGUGGAGGGUCAUUGGGAACUGGGGAACUUGAGUGCAGAAGAGAAAAGCGGAAUUCCACGGGUAACGGUGAAAUGCGUAGAGAUGUGGAGGAACACCAGUGGCGAAGGCGGCUUUUUGGUCUGUAACUGACGCUGAGGCGCGAAAGCGUGGGGAGCAAACAGG